GACGAACGCUGGCGGCGUGCUUAACACAUGCAAGUCGAGCGGUAAGGCCCUUUCGGGGGUACACGAGCGGCGAACGGGUGAGUAACACGUGGGUGACCUGCCCUCAGCUCUGGGAUAAGCCUGGGAAACCGGGUCUAAUACCGGAUAUGACUCCACGACGCAUGUUGUGGGGUGGAAAGCCUUGUGCGGCUGAGGAUGGGCCCGCGGCCUAUCAGCUUGUUGGUGGGGUGANGGCCUACCAAGGCGACGACGGGUAGCCGGCCUGAGAGGGCGACCGGCCACACUGGGACUGAGACACGGCCCAGACUCCUACGGGAGGCAGCAGUGGGGAAUCUUGCGCAAUGGGCGAAAGCCUGACGCAGCGACGCCGCGUGAGGGAUGACGGCCU
rnacentral:rRNA from 1 species